AGUGAACGCUGGCGGUAGGCCUAACACAUGCAAGUCGAACGGCAGCACAGUAAGAGCUUGCUCUUACGGGUGGCGAGUGGCGGACGGGUGAGGAAUACAUCGGAAUCUACUUUUUCGUGGGGGAUAACGUAGGGAAACUUACGCUAAUACCGCAUACGACCUACGGGUGAAAGCAGGGGAUCUUCGGACCUUGCGUGAUUGAAUGAGCCGAUGUCGGAUUAGCUAGUUGGCGGGGUAAAGGCCCACCAAGGCGACGAUCCGUAGCUGGUCUGAGAGGAUGAUCAGCCACACUGGAACUGAGACACGGUCCAGACUCCUACGGGAGGCAGCAGUGGGGAAUAUUGGACAAUGGGCGCAAGCCUGAUCCAGCCAUACCGCGUGUGUGAAGAAGGCCUUCGGGUUGUAAAGCCCUUUUGUUGGGAAAGAAAAGCAGCAGGUUAAUACCCCGCUGUUCUGACGGUACCCAAAGAAUAAGCACCGGCUAACUUCGUG
rnacentral:rRNA from 1 species